ensembl:lncRNA
GAAUGGACAGAGGACUUCUCUUUGUGGCCUCUGUGGUGAUGGGCUGCCUGGCACCAGGUGUUAGUGGAAACGGACAUCUCUCGUUUGCCAAUAAUACGGAGGUGCAUAUCACACGGACAGGCUGUGGAUUGACUAAGCUGUGUGUAGAGACCCCAGAACAAUGUGAUCCUACAGGAAAAACAAGCUGCCUCUUCGCUUCCAUCGUCACCACCGCCCCCUCUCCUCCUAAUGGAGUAGACCUGUUAGUUGAGCUCCUUGGGAACUCCAGUGGAUACAUCGCUCUAGGACUGACUGCCAACGAGACAGAGGGAACGUCUAUGGUUUUUAUCUGUGCCCAGAACAGAAAUGGCAGUUUCUUCUUCCGCUCUGCCCAGCGCAACAACCUCAACAACACAAUUUCUCUGACACAAAGGAUUGUGAAAAACAUCACUGGCUCAGUCAAUGGGACUUUCAUACAGUGUAAAUUCAUGCUGCCAGCGGUUAAUGCAACAACCAGGACAAGUCACGUCACCACCUUCGUCACCUUCCUCGCUGUGGGAAAUGUCAUAAACGGUAUGGGUAUUGGUGACAUCAACAUACACUUGACCAAUAAGCCAUUGAACCUGGCUGACCCUACCAGCAACGUUGCAACAACAGCAGUCCCAACAACAGCCGGCAGCAGCGCACUCACAUCCCAAGGUAAGCAAAUCAGGCUUGAACUAGAAGUUGCCCUUAAUCAACCAUAG